rnacentral:rRNA from 1 species
CCCUUAGAUGUUCUGGGCUGCACGCGUGCUACACUGAUAUUGCCAAUAUGUCAUUCUUAUCCGAAAUGGAUUGGGUAAUCAAGUAAUGAAAUUUCAUGCUUGGAAUCGGUAAUUGCAAUUUUAUCGUGAACGAGGAAUUUCUAGUAAGCACUAGUCAUCAGCUAAUGUUGAUUAUGUCCCUGCCCUUUGUACACACCGCCCGUCGCUACUACUGAUUGGGUGUUCAAGUGAGAUGCUUAGACCCUUGUUGCAUGGUUCAUUAUUGUGCUCCGAAAGGAAAAAGUUUCAAGCUUGAGUGUCUAGAGGAAGUAAAAGUCGUAACA